rnacentral:tRNA from 1 species
CCUCCCGUAGCUCAACGGCAGAGCGUCGGUCUUAUAAACCGAUCGUCGUGGGUUCGAAUCCUAUCGGGUGUA